UUACGACCACAUCACGUCAAAACUCCAGUUCUCGUACGGUCACCGAAGUUAAGCAACGUCGAGCCUGGUCAGUACCCAGAUGGUUGUCGACUUGGGAAUAUCAGCUGCUGUAAU